rnacentral:tRNA from 1 species
GAAAGAAACAAAGAUAAGCUGUGGCUGCUAACUAUGGCUUGAGUAGGUAGAGUUAUUCUUGUUUUUG